UACGUAGGGGCUAGCGUUAUCCGGAAUUACUGGGCGUAAAGGGUGCGUAGGUGGUUUCUUAAGUCAGUGGUGAAAGGCUACGGCUCAACCGUAGUAAGCCUUUGAAACUGGGAAACUUAAGUGCAGGAGAGGAGAGUGGAAUUCCUAGUGUAGCGGUGAAAUGCGUAGAUAUUAGGAGGAACACCAGUUGCGAAGGCGGCUCUCUGGACUAUAACUGACACUGAGGCACGAAAGCGUGGGGAGCAAACAGGAUUAGAUACCCCUGUAGUCCCUGAGCGGGCU
rnacentral:rRNA from 1 species